GACGAACGCUGGCGGCGUGCCUAACACAUGCAAGUAGAACGCAGUUGCGAACGGGUGAGUAAUGCGUAGGUAACUGCCUAUUAGCGGGGGAUAACCCUUGGAAACGAUAGCUAAUACCGCAUACUGUGAGAUGGACCUGCGUUGGAUUAGCGAGUUGGUGAGGUAAAGGUUCAACAAGGCGACGAUAUAUAGCCGACCUGAGAGGGUGAUCGGCCACACGGGGACUGUGACACGGCCCAGACUCCUGCGGGAGGCAGCAGUAGGGAAUAUUCGGCAAUGGACGGAAGUCUGACCGAGCCACGCCGCGUGAUUGAAUAAGGUUUUCGGUUCGUAAAGCUCUGGUAUUAGAGAAGCGUUAUCUACCCAGAAGGCCACGGCUAACUACGUGCCAGCAGCCGCGGUAAUUC
rnacentral:rRNA from 1 species